rnacentral:rRNA from 1 species
GGGGAAUAUUGGGCAAUGGACGCAAGUCUGACCCAGCAACGCCGCGUGAAGGAAGAAGGCUUUCGGGUUGUAAACUUCUUUUAAGGGGGAAGAGUAGAAGACGGUACCCCUUGAAUAAGCCACGGCUAACUACGUGCCAGCAGCCGCGGUAAUACGUAGGUGGCAAGCGUUGUCCGGAUUUACUGGGUGUAAAGGGCGUGUAGCCGGGAAGGUAAGUCAGAUGUGAAAUCUGGGGGCUCAACCUCCAAACUGCAUUUGAAACUACUUUUCUUGAGUAUCGGAGAGGAAACUGGAAUUCCUAGUGUAGCGAUGAAAUGCGUAGAUAUUAGGAGGAACACCAGUAGCGAAGGCGGCUUUCUGGACUGUAACUGACACUGAGGGACGAAAGCGUGAGUAGCAAACA